CGGAGGGAUCAUUGCUGGAACGCGCUUCGGCGCACCCAGAAACCCUUUGUGAACUUAUACCUAUUGUUGCCUCGGCGUCAGGCCGGCCUCUUCACUGAGGCCCCCUGGAGACAGGGAGCAGCCCGCCGGCGGCCAACUAAACUCUUGUUUCUAUAGUGAAUCUCUGAGUAAAAAACAUAAAUGAAUCAAAACUUUCAACAACGGAUCUCUUGGUUCUGGCAUCGAUGAAGAACGCAGCGAAAUGCGAUAAGUAAUGUGAAUUGCAGAAUUCAGUGAAUCAUCGAAUCUUUGAACGCACAUUGCGCCCCCUGGUAUUCCGGGGGGCAUGCCUGUUCGAGCGUCAUUUCAACCCUCAAGCCUGGCUUGGUGAUGGGGCACUACUUCCUCACGGGAGUAGGCCCUGAAAUUCAGUGGCGAGCUCGCCAGGACCCCGAGCGUAGUAGUUAUAUCUCGCUUUGGAAGGCCCUGGCGGUGCCCUGCCGUUAAACCCCCAACUUCUGAAAAUUUGACCUCGGAUCAGGUAGGAAUACCCGCUGAACUUAAGCAUA
rnacentral:rRNA from 1 species